AGAGUUUGAUUCUGGCUCAGAUUGAACGCUGGCGGUAUGCUUAACACAUGCAAGUCGAACGGUAACAGCAGAGCUUGCUCUGGCUGACGAGUGGCGGACGGGUGCGUAACGCGUGCCUAGGGAUCUGCCCAGUCGAGGGGGACAACAGUUGGAAAUUUGGAUUAAUACCGGAUACGCCCUACGGGGGAAAGUGGAGGAUCUUCGGACUUCACGCUAUUAGAUGGGCCUGCGUAUGAUUAGCUAGUUGGUGAGGUAAUGGCUCACCAAGGCAACGAUCUAUAGCUAGUUUGAGAGGAUUAUCAGCCACACUGGGACUGAGACACGGCCCAGACUCCUACGGGAGGCAGCAGUUGGGAAUAUUGCACAAUGGGCGAAAGCCUGAUGCAGCCAUACCUCGUGUGUGAAGAAGGCUCUAGGGUUGUAAAGCACUUUCAGUAGGGAGGAAAGGUUAUAGUUUAAUACGCUAUAGCUGUGACGUUACCUACAGAAGAAGGACCGGCUAACUCCGUGCCAGCAGCCGCGGUAAUACGGAGGGUCCGAGCGUUAAUCGGAAUUACUGGGCGUAAAGCGUACGCAGGCGGUUUGUUAAGCGAGAUGUGAAAGCCCCGGGCUCAACCUGGGAACUGCAUUUCGAACUGACAAACUAGAGUUUUGUAGAGGGUGGUAGAAUUUCAGGUGUAGCGGUGAAAUGCGUAGAGAUCUGAAGGAAUACCAGUGGCGAAGGCGGCCACCUGGACAAUAACUGACGCUCAUGUACGAAAGCGUGGGGAGAAACCGGGAUUAGAUACCCCGGUAGUCCACGCCGUAAACGAUGUCAACUAGCCGUUGGGAGACUUGACCUCUUAGUGGCGCCGCUAACGCAAUAAGUAGACCGCCUGGGGAGUACGGCCGCAAGGUUAAAACUCAAAUGAAUUGACGGGGGCCCGCACAAGCGGUGUAACAUGUGGUUCAAUUCGAUGCAACGCGAAGAACCUUACCUGGUCUUGACAUCCUACGAACUUACUAGAGGUAGUUUGGUGCCUUCGGGAACGUAGUGACAGGUGCUGCAUGGCUGUCGUCAGCUCGUGUUGUGAAAUGUUGGGUUAAGUCCCGUAACGAGCGCAACCCUUAUCCUUAUUUGCCAGCACGUAAUGGUGGGAACUCUAGGGAGACUGCCGGUGACAAACCGGAGGAAGGUGGGGACGACGUCAAGUCAUCAUGGCCCUUACGACCAGGGCUACACACGUGCUACAAUGGACGGUACAGAGGGUUGCCAAGCCGCGAGGUGGAGCUAAUCCCAUAAAACCGUUCGUAGUCCGGAUUGGAGUCUGCAACUCGACUCCAUGAAGUCGGAAUCGCUAGUAAUCGUGAAUCAGAAUGUCACGGUGAAUACGUUCCCGGGGCCUUGUACACACCGCCCGUCACACCAUGGGAGUGGAUUGCACCAGAAGUAGUUAGUCUAACCUUCGGGAGGACGAUUACCACGGUGUGGUUCAUGACUGGGGUGAAGUCGGAACAAGGUAGCCG
rnacentral:rRNA from 1 species